AACGAACGCUGGCGGCAUGCCUAACACAUGCAAGUCGAACGAGACCUUCGGGUCUAGUGGCGCACGGGUGCGUAACGCGUGGGAAUCUGCCCUUGGGUUCGGAAUAACUCGCCGAAAGGCGUGCUAAUACCGGAUGAUGACGUAAGUCCAAAGAUUUAUCGCCCAAGGAUGAGCCCGCGUUGGAUUAGCUAGUUGGUGAGGUAAAGGCUCACCAAGGCGACGAUCCAUAGCUGGUCUGAGAGGAUGAUCAGCCACACUGGGACUGAGACACGGCCCAGACUCCUACGGGAGGCAGCAGUGGGGAAUAUUGGACAAUGGGCGAAAGCCUGAUCCAGCAAUGCCGCGGGAGUGAUGAAGGCCUUAGGGUUGUAAAGCUCUUUUACCCGGGAUGAUAAUGACCGUACCGGGAGAAUAAGCUCCGGCUAACUCCGUG
rnacentral:rRNA from 1 species